AUUGAACGCUGGCGGCAGGCUUAACACAUGCAAGUCGAGCGGGGAAAGGUAGCUUGCUACCUGACCUAGCGGCGGACGGGUGAGUAAUGCUUAGGAAUCUGCCUAUUAGUGGGGGACAACAUCUCGACAGGGAUGCUAAUACCGCAUACGUCCUACGGGAGAAAGCAGGGGACCUUCGGGCCUUGCGCUAAUAGAUGAGCCUAAGUCGGAUUAGCUAGUUGGUGGGGUAAAGGCCUACCAAGGCGACGAUCUGUAGCGGGUCUGAGAGGAUGAUCCGCCACACUGGGACUGAGACACGGCCCAGACUCCUACGGGAGGCAGCAGUGGGGAAUAUUGGACAAUGGGGGGAACCCUGAUCCAGCCAUGCCGCGUGUGUGAAGAAGGCCUUUUGGUUGUAAAGCACUUUAAGCGAGGAGGAGACUACCGAGAUUAAUACUCUUGGAUAGUGGACGUUACUCGCAGAAUAAGCACCGGCUAACUCUGUG
rnacentral:rRNA from 1 species